UAAAGUUGUAAAGGAAGCCGAGCAGGACAACCCUCGAAACCAUGGCGGACAAAACCCCAAGCAAAGGAAGCAAUCGAAGAGCAAGGAGGAUUUUUCGAAAGCUUUUAGCAUGGAUAUCUAGAAUUAGAUCGGCGAUCGGCGAUCGGCGAUCGGCAAUACAGGAGCCGCCGAGAGGAAGACAGUGACGGUGGCGCCAUCACCGUCGGCGACACCACUCGCGACAGUUCGCAGAAGCUAUUCAUCUCCUAAUUGCUUCCAUAGCUGCUCUCCUCGUUGUUCACUGGCCAUUUGUCGCUGCAAAUCUAGAAAGGUAUUAGUUUUUUAUUUUGCUUGUAUUAUUCUAACUUAUGUGAUGUCUGGCACAGUUCGCGUUCAUGAUGACAUGCUUUUAGCAGCUUGUAGGUACUGUUCCAUGCUGUAGGAUCUGUGCUGCGAUGUCCUGUUCUAUUUCUUUAAAAAAAAGAUCGGUGAAAAAAUUAAUUUUCUUGAAUUGCAUUUUUUUUUAUUUGUGGUGAAAGUAUAGUUUUACGUAGAAUUGCUAUUUGAUUUAUGGAUAUGAAGUUGUUGGUUUAUUUGAAUGACCAUAUUUAGAUUUUUUUUAUUUAUUCAAAAAAUAAUAGUGGAUUUUAUUUUGGUAUUAAGAAAUAUUUGUAAUUGUCUUCAAUGGCAAGGCUAUUAGGGAUGAAAGACAAACAGAAAUUGCAGGCUAUGUGUUUGCUUUUGUGCCUGUGGUAUAUCAAACCAUGUUUAAGAGAGGAAUCUUUUGGCUAGUGUGGAACCUAAUGGUUAUGUUGCAUAUUCAUUUUGAUAUCAUCAUAUGAUAUUCCCUCCUUUUUGGCAUUUUAUCCCUUCUGCCAGAUUGUUUUGUAUUGAAAUAAGAAAUUAUUAGGAUACAUGUUUCUUAAUGUCUGGCUUUGAUGCUCAGGUGUGCACUUAAGAUAUUUUAACUGGGGAAAACCUCCUCAAUUUUAUUGAGGUCAUUUUAUAGAUAUACACAAACACUAGAAACACUUUUGACAAUUUUCAUAUAAGCAUAAAGGGAAAAUUAGUUGGAUUUUUGAAAGGCAAGGUUAGAACUUCAUUCUUAAAUUUCUGAGUAAUUUAGCCUUGGAGAAAAACAAGCUCCUAGAUAAUGUAUCAUUGGAUGGAAUGAAUGAUAGCAGCACUAGUGAGUCAGACAUACAUUCCAUCUCCUGCAUAGAUAUCACUUAUCGUUUUUGCCUUAUUGGAGCAUAAAAUAGCUAAUAUGAGUAUGAUUCUGCAUACCUAUUCUUACCAAGAAACAAUAUAUGAUUUGUAAAGAAUGGUUUGGGCUAUCUUCUACUUACCUUUUAGCAUUUGGAGGUUCAACCCUUAUGUCUCUCUCUCUAUGCCCUAAAACUUCCACAUGCCCUUGAGGUGGUCAAAAUAUCGCUUGACCAAAGAUACUAAUUGUUUGCUAAUUGACCAGUCUUUUUUGCUGAGUAUUUUUGUUUCUAAUUUUAGGCUUGGUCCAUACGGUUAGUAUUUAUUUGUUCACAUUUUUUUUCUAAUUUUAGGCUUGAUCAAUACGGUUAUGAUAGGCUUGCAAAAUGCUGGAAAAACUUCUCUUGUUAAUGUUGUUGCUGUAAGCAUAUAAUUAGUGUAUAGACAGAUCACUACAUUAGACUUUUCCCUCAUUUUCUUCUAUAUCUGACUGUCAUAUGACUAUAUGAGUUUGUUGCAUCAUCAUCCUCACUAUCAAAAUACAGAAAAAAGUUAGCUUUGUUGGAUAUGAUGCCUUGACAAAUUGGCUCUGACUUGUUUUCAAUUGUAGACGACUGGUGGAUAUAGUGAAGACAUGAUACCAAGGCUGGCAUAUUCUUAUGUGAAUGAGAGCUCCUACUGAAGGUUCUUGUGACCAUAUUGCUUCGGUAUAGUCUAUGGAUGAGGUGAAGAUAAGUUUAUGUAUACAACUCUUGAACUACAGAGGAAAUGCAGAGUAUAUUAUCUGUUGUAAGGUAUACAGGCUGAAGGUUGUAUGAGAUAUUCAGAGGAAAGCAAAAAUGAAGAUAUUAGCUUUUCAAUCAAUACAUGCCACCAGUGCCAUGCUCUCCAAGCUCCUCAGGUGUUUGAGUCCUCGAAGAUUCAAAAUACUACAAGAAAAAGUCAUGACUAUCAAUUCUCAUCGAGGGUAAAAAAUGAUAUUCAUCGUCUAGUGAUGAUGUAAAUUCCUUUUGCAUGAAACCGUCAUAUUGAUGAAUAAACUACUAUAUUGCUUUAUAUUUUUCAUUUAAAAUAUUUUUCAGUUAUGUAUACAGUUCAAUUAAUAUGUAGACGGUUGGUUGUACAUGAAUAUUGUUUGAUAUUAUUUGACAAAUAUUCGUUACAA